rnacentral:misc_RNA from 1 species
GGCCAAUAAUAAAUGGGUCUUUUUUGAGCUUUAAAAAAACAAAGAAUGAAGGUGCAAGCUUCAAAUACUGAUCUUUUCUUUAGUCUCUUCCCCCCUGGAAAAAGUUCAUUUUCACCCUGUUUGGAGUAAAUCAUGUGAUAGGCAUUCAAUUAUAUUUUAUUAAUAGAGUUUAGUCAAUUGGUUUUGUAAUAAAAUCCAUAUGCUUCAAAUAGCUGUUAAAAUAACUAUUUUGAAAUUUAGUAUUUCAAAUAAUUGAAAAUGUAUUGAAUUCUAUAGUAGUAUCCUUGUCAAUAAUAAGUCAGUUUCUUUUCAGGGUAUUUUUGGUUUUCAGUGAUUGGCCUUCUCAUUAUUAAACCAAAUGAACUGAAUUAUUGCAAAUUACUCUACACUUGGAGUGGUUUCCAGUUCUUGCGAAAUGCCACUUUAUAAAUUCUUAAGAAUUGAGUUUUAUCACUUACAUCCUGUUUGCUUCAAAUGAAGUAGAGAUGUAGAAUUCAUUUAGACGGGAGAGUUCUAGUUAUAAUUUAUUGGAAAUGGGUUCUUGUGUUUGUUAUGAUGCAAAUUAAAUUGAAUACCAUAUAAUUCAUAAUUGGUAUAAUUGUAUAAUUAGAGUUAAUUUG